GAUGAACGCUGGCGGCGUGCCUAAUACAUGCAAGUCGAGCGAACAGACGAGGAGCUUGCUCCUCUGACGUUAGCGGCGGACGGGUGAGUAACACGUGGAUAACCUACCUAUAAGACUGGGAUAACUUCGGGAAACCGGAGCUAAUACCGGAUAAUAUAUUGAACCGCAUGGUUCAAUAGUGAAAGACGGUUUUGCUGUCACUUAUAGAUGGAUCCGCGCCGCAUUAGCUAGUUGGUAAGGUAACGGCUUACCAAGGCGACGAUGCGUAGCCGACCUGAGAGGGGGAUCGGCCACAUGGGAACUGAGACACGGUCCAGACUCCUACGGGAGGCAGCAGUAGGGAAUCUUCCGCAAUGGGCGAAAGCCUGACGGAGCAACGCCGCGUGAGUGAUGAAGGUCUUCGGAUCGUAAAACUCUGUUAUUAGGGAAGAACAAAUGUGUAAGUAACUAUGCACGUCUUGACGGUACCUAAUCAGAAAGCCACGGCUAACUACGUG
rnacentral:rRNA from 1 species